GGAAGAUGGCCGGGCAAGGCGAGAGCGGCGCGGCGGCGCGGAGCGGCGGAGGCCGCGGCGUUGUGAUUUCAGAUAAUUGGCCUGGAUACAGUCUGGAUUUGUUCACUUAUCCACAGCACUACUAUGGAGAUCUGGAGUAUGUGCUUAUACCUCACGGCAUUAUUGUUGACAGGACUGAACGAUUGGCCAAAGAUAUUAUGCAAGACAUUGGAGACAAUGAUAUUGUGGUUCUCUGUGUCCUCAAAGGUGGCUACAAGUUCUGUGCUGACCUUGUGGAGCACAUUAAAAAUCUCAGCAGAAAUUCAGAAAGGUUCAUCUCCAUGAAAGUCGAUUUUGUUAGACUGAAAAGUUACCAUAAUGAUCAGUCUAUGCAAGAUAUGCAGAUAAUGGGAGGAGAUGAUCUUUCAAAGCUGACUGGGAAGGACUUUUGUGUAUUUGUGUGCGUCCACAUGUAUAUGAGAGAGAAGGAAAAUUUCACCCCAAGUAGUUCUGUGCUUUCCAAAAAUGAAGUAAUUUGUUUUCUUAUACUGAAAAUCCCGGUGACUGUUUUCUCAUUGGCACAGCCCUCCUGUUCCCAGGAGGUGGUUUCUGGUACCAGAGGAUGGCAAACCAUUUUGAAUGCCUUCAGUCAUAAGCAAAAGUUAAGUAUGAUGACUUGUCACAGUAACCCUGACUAAUCAAACCAGGGAUUAAUGUAUCCCUCUCAGUAAUUAUGAUGCCUGCUUAUACAAAAUGGUUUCAUAUCUAAGUAUUUUAUAGUGUUUUUUCCGCUACAAAGUCCUUGCAUACAGGAUUUCUCCAUAUCACAGAAAAUCCUCAUCAUUGUUUUGGACAUUAUAAGAAUGUGGAUAAUACAAAAGAGAAUCUGUGUUUCCUGAACUAGACAGCUGACUGAUUAAAGGGACCAAAUCUCCUAAUGCAUAUCAUUUGCAACUGUUAGACUCCUUGACUCCGAGGAGAAGAAGGCAAGAAUAGCAGAAUGCUGGUCAGACAGUUUCAGGGUCCACCAGUAUCCUUCCUUCUCAAGUUAGUCAAUAAAUAUGAGAUCCUACAUUUCAGCUGAAGUCAUAUGCAGGUGACUAUCACUCUUGUGGCCAGACAAACCCUUCAGGCAUGUCUGGAUCCACGUUAAUCUUCUUUCCUUCAUAUGAGUCAUUUGAGAUAAGGAAAUGUAGACAAGAUUAAAUUUCUAUUAGAUGGAUGUAUAACUGGUUGGAAAGCUGUUCUCCAGAAACAGUUAAUUAUGCUUCACUGUCAGACUGGAUGCAUUAAAGCAUGUUCUCCAGGGACUAUACAAUAUUUAAUUCAUGAUAUAAAAGAUGGAACUAGCAUUUAAUGCUAGUGAUACUACCUGGAAAAAUACUACAAGAUAGUGUUAUGAUCUUAAGAAAAUAUUUUAAGAAUUUGGUUCAAAGACUGACAUGUAUUGACAAUAAAGAUGAAUACUAACUUCUGUGUUUAUAUAGAAGUAAUCUUUUACAUAAACACAAGUGAGGAAGGACUGACUAAGCAACAGUUCUGAACUGGAGACUAUAGGUGGAUCACGAGUUGCACAUGAGACAACAGCGUACCUUUAUAAAAGAAAAGAUCUAACUAUUGUACUGGAACAUACAGAAAGGAGGAUUAUUUGUAAAGCAUACCAGGUGGUUCUUUUAUUCUUCUGGACACUAGAAAAGGCUUCUGUCUGGUUUGGAGCAUCACAACUGGAGAAGGAUUCUGACCAACCAGACAGGUUACUGAGGAGAACGAAAAAAUUAUCAGAAAGCUAGAAAAUAUAACUUAUGAGAGAAUACUGAAUAAAUUUGGGUUGUUUAAUCUGAAGAAGAGGAAACUGAGGAAAUACAUCUGUCUUCAAAUAUAGAAGAAGUUAAAAAGAGAAGAAAUAAAGCUUUGUAUAUGUCCACUGCAAAACAAGUUCAGGUCAAAUAGCAAGAGAAGUUUUCUAACUGUAUUUUUACUCUUAGAUAAUGAGGCACUGAGACACAUUGCCUGGGGAAGUUCUGAAAUCCUCAUCAUGUUCAAGAACAGAAUGUUCUAAUUGUGGAGGAUAUUGUUGGAACUGGAAGGACUAUGAAGGUUCUGCUUAAUAAUAUAGAAAAAUACAAGCCCAAAAUGAUUAA